rnacentral:rRNA from 1 species
UACAGAGGGUGCAAGCGUUAAUCGGAAUUACUGGGCGUAAAGCGCAUGCAGGUGGGUAUAUAAGUUUGAUGUGAAAGCCCUGGGCUUAACCUGGGAAUGGCGUUGAAGACUGUGUACCUAGAGUUUGACAGAGGGUCGUGGAAUUUCCGGUGUAGCGGUGAAAUGCGUAGAGAUCGGAAAGAACACCAGUGGCGAAGGCGGCGACCUGGGUCAAAACUGACACUGAGGUGCGAAAGCGUGGGGAGCAAACAGG